rnacentral:lncRNA from 13 species
CCUAGAUAAAUCUAGGUGGCUUCAGAAACUUGUCCCUUGGAUGGACCUUUGUAUUAGUUAUCAAUUGCUGCAUAAUGAAUUACAUCAUAGCAUAGUGUCUUAAAACAAGAGAUAUUUAUUAUCUCACAAUUUCUGUUUGGCAGCUAUUUGAGUGCAGCUUAGCCGAGAGCCUCUGCCUCAAGGUCUCUCAUGAGGAUGCAGUCAUGCCAGGAAUUGGGCUGUUGUCUUAUCUCAAGUCUUGACUGGGGAGAAUCCACUCCUGUGCUCUGUCACAUGACUGAUGGCAGAUUUCAGCUCCUCACCAGCUGUUGGCCACAGACAUCAGUUCUUUUUCACAUGGACCUAAUCUCAGGCAUGAUAUCCCAACACUCCAAUUUGAUACAAAUGAGAAAACUGAGGAAGAGAGAAAACUGCUUGGUUAAAAACAAAGGUAUGCAUUUUAUCCAUUGCCGAAGACACAAUACAAAGAUGCCAAGAUUGAGAACCUGAAAGAGGGUUAUGCUGCUGAGAACCUGAAAUAAAGUCGUUCCGCUGUGACA